CAACUCUGUACCAGACUGGAACCAAGGUAAGGGACACAGCUCUGUACCAGACUGGAACCAAGGUAAGGGACACAACUCUGUACUACACUGGAACCAAGGUAAGGGACACAACUCUGUACCAAACUGGAACCAAGGUAAGGGACACAACUCUGUACCAGACUGGCAGCUAGG
rnacentral:lncRNA from 1 species